rnacentral:rRNA from 1 species
UACGUAGGGUCCGAGCGUUGUCCGGAAUUACUGGGCGUAAAGAGCUCGUAGGUGGUUUGUCACGUUGUUCGUGAAAACUCACAGCUUAACUGUGGGCGUGCGGGCGAUACGGGGCAGACUAGAGUACUGCAGGGGAGACUGGAAUUCCUGGUGUAGCGGUGGAAUGCGCAGAUAUCAGGAGGAACACCGGUGGCGAAGGCGGGUCUCUGGGCAGUAACUGACGCUGAGGAGCGAAAGCGUGGGGAGCGAACAGG